CGUACACUCCUACGGGAGGCAGCAGUGGGGAAUAUUGCACAAUGGGCGCAAGCCUGAUGCAGCCAUGCCGCGUGUAUGAAGAAGGCCUUCGGGUUGUAAAGUACUUUCAGCGGGGAGGAAGGCGAUAAGGUUAAUAACCUUGUUGAUUGACGUUACCCGCAGAAGAAGCACCGGCUAACUCCGUGCCAGCAGCCGCGGUAAUACGGAGGGUGCAAGCGUUAAUCGGAAUUACUGGGCGUAAAGCGCACGCAGGCGGUCUGUCAAGUCGGAUGUGAAAUCCCCGGGCUCAACCUGGGAACUGCAUUCGAAACUGGCAGGCUAGAGUCUUGUAGAGGGGGGUAGAAUUCCAGGUGGAGCGGUGAAAUGCGUAGAGAUCUGGAGGAAUACCGGUGGCGAAGGCGGCCCCCUGGACAAAGACUGACGCUCAGGUGCGAAAGCGUGGGGAGCAAACAGGAUUAGAAACCCGGGUAGUCCC
rnacentral:rRNA from 1 species